rnacentral:lncRNA from 1 species
UACCGGCCUAAAAGUUCGAUCUCGAGACUUUUGGCAGAGUCCUGAGAGUUUUUACUCUCGGGGACCGGUCCCUAAUGGGAGGGACCGGUCCCCCAGUGAACAGUGCUGCGCAGCCGGCGAGGCAACCGGUCCCUGGCAGUCGAGACCGGUCCCCGAGCGCGUCUGUGCGGGGAGAGACCGGUCCCGCGCAGGGAGAGACCGGUUCCCGAACGUUGGAUUUUCGGGGGCAGGCUGAGAGACCGGUCCCAGGUCGGGGAGACCGGUCCCUCUGGGCGAAAACUGCCCAGACCGGGCUGAUGUGAUUUUGAAUUUUUGAGGGGCUUAUCAGGAUUUUGUUACUUUAGAGCCUAU